rnacentral:lncRNA from 1 species
AGUUGAAUAGAAUUCCAUGGUGCUUAUGUGACCUGCGGUUCAUUUCAUUAUCCAUUCAUCAGUCAAAGGACUUUUGUGUCGUUUCCGGUUGGUAACUCCUGUGAACAGAACAGCAAGGAACAUGGCUGAGCAGGUACGUGUGGAGUAGGAUGUCCAGGCGUUUGAGUGUAUGCCAAGGAAUGUUUUGUGAGUUCUUUGUGUAUUCUGGAUGCUAAUUCCCUAGCAGGAAAGUUUUUUAAUUAAUAAGAUGAAUUUAGAUGUUUAUAUUCUGAGCUGUUCAGAAAAAUCUAAUAGCAUGAAAAGAUUGGGGGUAAUUCACAAAGCAUUAUCUGUAUGAAUCAGCCCUCCUAGGUAGACUCUGAAGGAGGUGACCGAUGCCACCCGCAGAUGUGUUUGAAAUUGAUGCUCGUUCUGGCCUCCAAUUGCCUGCUGUCUCAUGUCAGCCCCAAAUCCCCCUAUCUCAGCUACUUUCAGACUCAUGACCUGGAAAAACCAUGAACUCCAAGACCUAACAAGAAGAACUCUUGUCUUUGAGCCACAGAGUUGGGCUGACUUGUUAUGAUUUCAACAGAUAACAAGCACAUGUUUUCAACGACCUCUGUGCCAGGCACUGUGAUCUCUGCUUCACCAAUGUGGAAAGCAAUGUGUCAAACACAUGUGCUAUCAAAAUGAAGACGCAGAACUUGGGUACAAG